CCUACGGGUGGCUGCAGUGAGGAAUAUUGGUCAAUGGCCGGAAGGCUGAACCAGCCAAGCCGCGUGAAGGACGAAGGUGCCAAGCAUUGUAAACUUCUUUUGUCAAGGGACAAAAUCAGGCUCGAGAGCCUGACCGAGGGUACUUGAAGAAACAGCAUCGGCUAACCCCGUGCCAGCAGCCGCGGUAAUACGGAGGAUGUGAGCGUUAUCCGGGUUUAUUGGGUUUAAAGGGUGCGUAGGCGGGCUGUUAAGUCAGCGGUAAAAGCCCGGGGCCCAACCCCGGUGAGCUGUUGAAACUGGCUGUCUAGAGAGGUCGAGAGGCAUGCGGAAUGCGCAGUGUAGCGGUGAAAUGCUUAGAUAUUGCGCAGAACUCCGAUUGCGAAGGCAGCAUACCGGCGGCGAUCUGACGCUGAGGCACGAAAGCGUGGGUAUCGAACAGGAUUAGAUACCCUUGUAGUC
rnacentral:rRNA from 1 species